rnacentral:misc_RNA from 1 species
UUGAAUAAACCUGAUGUGACUGUUAGCUGGCUUUUCGAAGCAUGUGCUCGUCCGUCAUCUUUAAUCUCUCCACCUGUGCACAUUUUGUAGUCUUGAAUACCUCUCGAGGCAACUCGGAUUUUAGGAUUGCCAAGUUGGCUUUCCUUUCAUUUCCAAGACUAUGUUUUUAUAUACACCAAAGUAUGUUUAAAGAAUGUCAUUAAUAGGAACUUGUUUCCUAUAAAAUUAUA